CUAGAUUGAUCCACUCGAAGCCUUACGCUGAUUUAUUUCUUUGGGAGUGCUAGCUUGCAUAGAAAUUACCGUAGAUGGCUGAUCUACUGCUUUCUUCAGAUCGCUCAAACUCCUCUAAAACUAAAGAAAGACAAGGAAGAUCUAGUGAAGGAAAUAAAGAUAGAGAACUGCUUUCUCUCUUGUUUUUUUCUCAUCCAAAAACCUAGAUCUGAUCUUGGUAUCUCACCCA
rnacentral:lncRNA from 1 species